CAGUCGCCUCGUUCUGUCUCGGCAAGCCAAACCGUGUCCCCUGCAAUGAAAACAAGCUCGCCUUGGUGUGCAAUUAUAGACGAGGACGGAGGGCGGGUAGGUUCGUCAUGCCUCGCUUCUAAUCAGUAAACGUUUGGAAUAUCUCGCGAAUGGGUGUGACGAUUUUGUGCCGAGAAGAAACACGGACGCAAGUGAAAUGAGUCGCUUUGUAUUUUUUCUUCAAACACGGCGUCUUUGCAUCACCUGUUGACCGGCCAAACAGCGUCACACCUCAGCUGACUGGUGGCCGCCACAUCCGCCUCUCUCUCUCUCUCUCUCUCUCUCUCUCUCUCUCUCUCUCUCUCUCUCUCUCUCUCUCUCUCUCUCUCUCUCUCUCUCUCUCUCUCUCUCUCUCUCUCUCUCUCUCUCUCUCUCUCUCUCUCUCUCUCUCUCUCUCUCCCCCGCUCAGGACCACCACCAUCAUCACCACUACUGCCACCAUGAUACUACCACUAUCUCCACUAUUAUGACUUUCAUUUACCGCUUUAAUAUAAUAGUAACACAUCUAAAAUUACUACUACU